GUUGUCUUAAUGAACUAGUUGUUUGUGUUUUGAAAACACAAUUUAGGUUUUU
rnacentral:tRNA from 1 species